rnacentral:rRNA from 1 species
UACGUAGGGUGCAAGCGUUGUCCAGAAUUAUUGGGCGUAAAGAGCUUGUAGGCGGUUUGUCGCGUCUGCUGUGAAAUUUCGGGGCUCAACCCCGAACUUGCAGUGGGUACGGGCAGACUAGAGUGUGGUAGGGGAGACUGGAAUUCCUGGUGUAGCGGUGAAAUGCGCAGAUAUCAGGAGGAACACCAAUAGCGAAGGCAGCUCGCUGGGACGUUACUGACACUGAGGCGCGAAAGCGUGGGGAGCGAACAGG